CGUUCAGGGGUAAACCUGCGAAACUCGAAUGAACGAACGGCGAGAUUCAUCGUCAUUCGAUCGGCGGCCGCGCCGCUGCGCGAUGCGUGUCCCUCCGGCGAUCUCGGUCGUCGGUGCGAGAUGCGCACGCGCGCGGCGCCGGCAUCACGUCGGUCGACGGCGUGCACUUCUCGCCUAGUAAUGCAUCGCGACCCGCUCGAUGUCGGUCUAAGCUUCGUCCGGGAGUCCGCGGCGUCCUCGCGCGCCGCGGACCGGACCGUUGCCGGCCGACUGUCGGGCGGUAGUAGACAUGAAACGCGCACGCGCUCGUCGCGUCCGGCCCGACGCAAGGCCGCCGUCAAGCCGCCGUGUUGCCAUUAAUGUGCGGACGGUGCGCUUGCGGCGCCUGCUCAUCGCCGCCGUGUCGUCUCGGACGUGCGUGUAUCGAGUCGGCGAUGUUUUUGUUUCGGGCACUCGCAGGACCCGUCUUGAAACACGGACCAAGGAGUCUAGCAUGUGUGCGAGUCAAUAGGUGUAUAACAAAACCGAAAGGCGUAACGAAAGUGAAGGCGCGCUUUUAAAGCGCGCUCGGGGAGGAUGGCGGUGCGCUAUCGUGGCCGCCGCCCGCACUCCCGAGGCGUCCCGUUCGCAAUCUGUCGAUGUGGGCGCGCUCAGAGCACAAAUGCUGGGACCCGAAAGAUGGUGAACUAUGCCUGGUCAGGUCGAAGUCAGGGGAAACCCUGAUGGAGGACCGUAGCGAUUCUGACGUGCAAAUCGAUCGUCGGAACUGGGUAUAGGGGCGAAAGACUAAUCGAACCAUC
rnacentral:rRNA from 1 species